CCCUUAGAUGUUCUGGGCCGCACGCGUCCUACACUGAGUGGAUCAGCGGGUCAGGUUGCGCGAAAGCGUUUCCUAAUCUUUAAAUCCGCUCGUGAUGGGGAUUGACGGUUGCAAUUUUCUGUCAUGAACGAGGAAUACCUUGUAAGCGCGGGUCAUCAUCCCGCGCUGAAUACGUCCCUGCCCUUUGUACACACCGCCCGUCGCUCCUACCGAUUGAGUGGUCCGGUGAGGCUUUGGGAUCUGAGCGGAAAGAGCGUUUCGCUGUUUCUGCUCGGAAAACUCAGUCGAACCUUAUCAUUUAGAGGAAGGAGAAGUCGUAACA
rnacentral:rRNA from 1 species